UCUUCUUUUGUUUCUUUUUGGGGUUUGGGGUUUUUUUCUUUUCCUUCAUCAUUUCUUUUCUGAUCUAUCGGGAGCAGCGUUUUACCUUCCAGAGGCAGCCCGUUCCCGCCGCACUAAGUGGGAUUUUCACGGGUGUAGACGACGGGUUGUAGGCCGGGAGUUUUAAUUUUUUUUCAACGUAAAGGCGUUCAUAAUGGUAGGAAGUGCAUUUCCAAAGAUGUAGUGACACCUGCAGCCCUCCUUGUUUUGAGUGGGAUGCCCCCAGCCCCCGCAGGCGACGGGAGGCUCGGGUUGCGUUCCCGCGGUAGGUGUGGGAGAUCUGAACGCAGCUGACCUCCCCCGCUACGGAGCCCUUCCUCCGCCGGUCCCUGGCAGGGCAGAGGGCUCUUGGAGGGACACGGUCCAUUAUUACCCAGCCGGUCAUCCCAAGCCGUGCCUUGCAGGCCAAGCCAGCGCGGAGGGGCCAGCGGUGCGCUCUCCCCGCUGCCCGCCGUCCUGCGCGUCCGCCGGGGAAAUCACGGCGAUUUGCCUGUGCCUUUGAAACGUGCACGCUCGGCUGGAUUUACGGCUUGGUUGAUACAAGCCAACACUUUUUAUUAUUGCAGAUAAGAGUCAGAAUAUAGCCACGCUCAGUCGGGGCGGUUGUGCAAGCCCACGGAGGGGGCGGUCCUGGAAUCGCUACCAGCGAGCGGUGUGAGCUCAGCGGAAUAUUGUUUACAGGCCAGGCCGACGGUGACCCGAGGCCAACGGGCUCAUGGAGCGGGGAGCCGGCUUCUCCGAGGGGCCGUGCCCACCACGAGAGCGGAGUGUGGCCCUGGGGAUGCUGUGGCCCCGUGGGGGUGGCUGAGGGCCCCGGUAGAGCCAGGGCGGAGAGAAGAGAGGUCUUGCUUUGCCAGAUUACUUCAUAACCUCUUGAAUUCCUGGCCACCUGCUAUGGCUUCUUAUGCAGAAGGUGAGCUUUUUUGGAAAGUCCAUCCUCAAGACAUGAGGCCAGAAGUCUCUUGAAAACAGAGUCUAUGGACUGCAUGCCUUUUCACUGAGGGGUCUUCCAUGUCCAACCUCUUCGUCAUUCCCUGCUUUGCCAAGGACUUGUCAGCUUUCAGGGCAGGGUGGAAAGCCUCUCUUAGAGAUGUGGGGCCAGCAGUGAACCCUUGCACAUGUACAUUUUGUAGCCUUUUUUAAGUUUUCUUGCAAUCUCUAUAGUGCUUUUUACUUUAAACAGGAUCUCUUUUUCUGAUGUUCUUUCUUUCUUUUCUCUGAGGAAACCCACUCCCUUGUAUAUUUGAAGCAAGCUGAGAUGCAGCCAAUUGUAUUAGUUCUGGCUGGAGCAAAAAUGCAUAAUGAAACACUGGA